rnacentral:rRNA from 1 species
CCUACGAGUGGCAGCAGUGGGGGAUAUUGCACAAUGGGGGGAACCCUGAUGCAGCGACGCCGCGUGGGUGAAGGAGCGUUUCGGCGCGUAAAGCCCUAUCAGCAGGGAAGAAGAUGACGGUACCUGACCAAGACGCCCCGGCUAACUACGUGCCGGCAGCCGCGGUACUACGUAGGGGGCAAGCGUUAUCCGGAUUUACUGGGUGUAAAGGGGGCGCAGACGGCAAUGCAAGCCAGGAGUGAAAGCCCGGGGCCCAACCCCGGGACUGCUCUUGGAACUGCAUGGCUGGAGUACAGGAGGGGCAGGCGGAAUUCCUAGUGUAGCGGUGAAAUGCGUAGAUAUUAGGAGGAACACCGGUGGCGAAGGCGGCCUGCUGGACUGUGACUGACGUUGAGGCCCGAAGGCGUGGGGAGCAAACAGGAUUAGAUACCCGAGUAGUC